rnacentral:rRNA from 1 species
GACGAACCGUGCGAACGUUGUUCGGAUUCACUGGGCUUAAAGGGCGCGUAGGCGGGCCAUCAAGUCAGGGGUGAAAUCUUUCGGCUCAACCGGAAAAGUGCCUUUGAUACUGGUGGUCUCGAGGGAGGUAGGGGCAUGCGGAACUUCCGGUGGAGCGGUGAAAUGCGUAGAUAUCGGAAGGAACGCCGGUGGCGAAAGCGGCGUGCUGGACCUCUUCUGACGCUGAGGCGCGAAAGCUAGGGGAGCGAACGGG